UACGUAGGGGGCUAGCGUUGUCCGGAAUCAUUGGGCGUAAAGAGCGUGUAGGCGGCCCGGUAAGUCCGCUGUGAAAGUCGGGGGCUCAACCCUCGAAUGCCGGUGGAUACUGUCGGGCUAGAGUGCGGAAGAGGCGAGUGGAAUUCCUGGGUGUAGCGGUGAAAUGCGCAGAUAUCAGGAGGAACACCGAUUGCGAAGGCAGCUCGCUGGGACGUCACUGACGCUGAGACGCGAAAGCGUGGGGAGCAAACAGG
rnacentral:rRNA from 1 species